GAGGAAUAUUGGACAAUGGGCGAAAGCCUGAUCCAACCAUGCCGCGUGAGUGAUGAAGGCCUUCGGGUUGUAAAGCUCUUUCGACGGGGAAGAUAAUGACCGUACCCGUAGAAGAAGCCACGGCUAAAUUCGUGCCAGCAGCCGCGGUAAUACGAAUGUGGCAAGCGUUGUUCGGAAUCACUGGGCGUAAAGAAUGCGUAGGCGGCUUGACAAGUCAGAAGUGAAAUCCCAGGGCUCAACCCUGGAACUGCUUUUGAAACUGUUGGGCUAGUGUCCCGGAGGGGUUGAUGGAAUUCCGAGUGUAGAGGUGAAAUUCGCAGAUAUUCGGAGGAACACCAGUGGCGAAAGCGAUCAACUGGACGGGUACAGACGCUGAGGCAUGAAAGUGUGGGGAUCAAAC
rnacentral:rRNA from 1 species